rnacentral:rRNA from 1 species
UUCUACGGGAGGCAGCAGUAAGGGAUAUUGGUCAAUGGGGGAAACCCUGAACCAGCAACGCCGCGUGAGGGAAGACGGUUUUCGGAUUGUAAACCUCUGUCCUCUGUGAAGAUGAUGACGGUAGCAGAGGAGGAAGCUCCGGCUAACUACGUGCCAGCAGCCGCGGUAAUACGUAGGGGGCAAGCGUUAUCCGGAUUUACUGGGUGUAAAGGGAGCGUAGACGGAAAGGCAAGUCAGAAGUGAAAACCCAAGGCUCAACCAUGGGACUGCUUUUGAAACUGUCAAACUAGAGUACGGGAGAGGUA